AGUGUUUGCCAUACCGGCUUGUCUAAGGCUGAUCUCGGUAGAUCUCAGAAGCUAAUCAAGGCAGAGCUUGGUUAGUACUUGGAUGGGAGAUCUCUGGGAAUGCCAGGUGCUGCAGUG
rnacentral:rRNA from 1 species